AUACGUAGGGUGCAAGCGUUAAUCGGAAUUACUGGGCGUAAAGCGUGCGCAGGCGGUGAUGUAAGACAGAUGUGAAAUCCCCGGGCUCAACCUGGGAACUGCCAUUGUGACUGCAAGGCUGGAGUGCGGCAGAGGGGGAUGGAAUUCCGCGUGUAGCAGUGAAAUGCGUAGAUAUGCGGAGGAACACCGAUGGCGAAGGCAAUCCCCUGGGCCUGCACUGACGCUCAUGCACGAAAGCGUGGGGAGC
rnacentral:rRNA from 1 species